rnacentral:rRNA from 1 species
CCUACGGGUGGCAGCAGUGAGGAAUAUUGGUCAAUGGACGAGAGUCUGAACCAACCAAGUAGCGUGAAGGAUGACUGCCCUAUGGGUUGUAAACUUCUUUUAUAUGGGAAUAAAAUGUUCCACGUGUGGGAUUUUGUAUGUACCAUAUGAAUAAGGAUCGGCUAACUCCGUGCCAGCAGCCGCGGUAAUACGGAGGAUCCGAGCGUUAUCCGGAUUUAUUGGGUUUAAAGGGAGCGUAGGUGGAUUGUUAAGUCAGUUGUGAAAGUUUGCGGCUCAACCGUAAAAUUGCAGUUGAAACUGGCAGUCUUGAGUACAGUAGAGGUGGGCGGAAUUCGUGGUGUAGCGGUGAAAUGCUUAGAUAUCACGAAGAACUCCGAUUGCGAAGGCAGUUCACUGGACUGCAACUGACACUGAGGCUCGAAAGUGUGGGUAUCAAACAGGAUUAGAUACCCGUGUAGUC